AGGGUGUGCCUACGGGGGGCUGCAGCAGUGGGGAAUUUUGGACAAUGGGCGAAAGCCUGAUCCAGCCAUUCCGCGUGCAGGAUGAAGGCCUUCGGGUUGUAAACUGCUUUUGUACGGAACGAAAAGGUCUUUUCUAAUACAGGGGGCUAAUGACGGUACCGGAAGAAUAAGCACCGGCUAACUACGUGCCAGCAGCCGCGGUAAUACGUAGGGUGCGAGCGUUAAUCGGAAUUACUGGGCGUAAAGCGUGCGCAGGCGGUUUUGUAAGACAGAUGUGAAAUCCCCGGGCUCAACCUGGGAACUGCAUUUGUGACUGCAAGGCUAGAGUACGGUAGAGGGGGAUGGAAUUCCGCGUGUAGCAGUGAAAUGCGUAGAUAUGCGGAGGAACACCGAUGGCGAAGGCAGUCCCCUGGGCCUGUACUGACGCUCAUGCACGAAAGCGUGGGGAGCAAACAGGAUUAGAUACCCUUGUAGUCCACGCCCUAAACGAUGUCAACUGGUUGUUGGGUCUUCACUGACUCAGUAACGAAGCUAACGCGUGAAGUUGACCGCCUGGGGAGUACGGCCGCAAGGUUGAAACUUAAAGGAAUUGGCGGGG
rnacentral:rRNA from 1 species